rnacentral:rRNA from 1 species
UGGGAAUAUUGGGCAAUGGGCGCAAGCCUGACCCAGCAACGCCGCGUGAGGGAAGAAGGUUUUCGGAUUGUAAACCUCUGUCCUUGGUGACGAAGGAAGUGACGGUAGCCAAGGAGGAAGCCCCGGCUAACUACGUGCCAGCAGCCGCGGUAAUACGUAGGGGGCGAGCGUUGUCCGGAAUUACUGGGCGUAAAGGGUGAGUAGGCGGUUUUUAAGUUGGAUGUGAAAUACCCGGGCUUAACUUGGGGGGUGCAUUCAAAACUGGUAGACUAGAGUAUCGGAGAGGGAAGCGGAAUUCCUGGUGUAGCGGUGAAAUGCGUAGAUAUCAGGAGGAACACCGGUGGCGAAGGCGGCUUUCUGGACGACAACUGACGCUGAGGCACGAAAGCGUGGGGAGC